AAAUGUUCAAAAAAUGUCAUGUCACUCCAUUUGUGAAAUUACUCUCUUGUCACGGUCACAUGAAAUUAAUUUGUAAGGUUCGGAGUCACCUAUUUUGGAGUGACUUGUCAUAAAGAUUUUGUCACUGUGUAAUUGCUGCACGGACAGAAUAAAUUAAGUUAAAAAAGAAUGAAGCAAAAUUAAUGGUUAUAACUUUGACUGCUAAACUGAGCUGAUAGAUCUGGG